GCAUCAGUGGUUUAGUGGUAAAAUUAGCCGUUGCCAUCUUGUUAAAGAUUAAUUCGGCUAGCCCCGUGUUCGAUUCACGGCUGAUGCA